UUGGCCUUUUUUCCUUCCUUUGGAAGAUGUCUUGCUUAUGAUAAGUGGGUUGAGUAUUCUCUAAAGAAUGAUUUAAAAAAAAGCAAAAGAAGUAUUACCUUCUAACUUAUUAACAACUAAUAUUUAAAUUCAAGUCAUUUACUUUAAUGCAUUUUAGUUUUUAAGCCUUAUUCAUUCGCCAUUAUUCAUACCAUUCUAGUUGUUUAUGUUAAUGUUAUUUUUACUUUGUCCACUUGGAACAUAUUUGUGUGAUAUAUUUUGUUUGUG
rnacentral:lncRNA from 1 species